CGGGUGGGGUGGAGGGGGGUAGGGUGAGGUGGGGUGGGUUCGGCCGGGGUCUCGUCCCGGAUCCCCUCAAGCUUUGCCCGCCCGGAGCCCCUCUGCUCCCGGCGGCCAGAACCGAGGGGUAGAGCAGCCCUUGGCGGCCCGGGGGGCGGGCGGCCGUGCCCGGCCCGGCGCCGCGCGAGGCACAAACACCGCACGGAGGCGCCUGGAGGGUCCCAGCGGGCGGGCCGGCGCGGUGACAGGUCUGCGCUUUGCUUCCCCAGGCGCAGCCGCCGCUACAUUGUAGCGGGCGGGGGUCCCGGCCCACCUUGUCUGCGGGGGCGAGAGCGGGUCCCUGAGCGACCGUGGGCCCCGGGAGAUUGUCUCCAGCGCCUGCGGAUGCCCGGCCUGAGUACUAAGCGCAGGUUAAAAACUACAGGUACAAGCCGUUGGUGCUGGAAUGCUGUGAUGCUGGUGUAUUUUAACAGACUCCAAACCGACUUUCAGGCUAAGUACGCAUAGCGAGGUCAGACAUGGUUAAAUAAGUUGUAGCAGCCACGUGUCCACACGCAGUAGCUGGUGGUGAAAGAGCAGUGCAGCGGGCACCUCGUGGUUUUCAUCUUUUCAUUUAAUUCUCACAACUAUGUGAAGAUAGAGCAACAUUAAAUCUCCCACCAGUCCUUAUAGGACUCUGGGCCACCCCUAUAUCCACCAGGGACACAAGUCUUAGGGAUUGGAAGGAACACUAAUCUGUAUGGAAGGACCUCGCCCAGUUUUCUUACAUGAUAAAGUUCCAGGGAAUGCCAUUAGACCCACCAUACUAGGGUCAAACCCUAGGUUCAGCCUGAGGACCCACCUCCUCUGGACCUGGCUUACACCUUUUUUGC